AGUGGCGGACGGGUGAGUAACGCGUAAGAAUCUAACUUCAGGACGGGGACAACAGUGGGAAACGACUGCUAAUACCCGAUGUGCCGCGAGGUGAAACCUAAUUGGCCUGAAGAAGAGCUUGCGUCUGAUUAGCUAGUUGGUGGGGUAAGAGCCUACCAAGGCGACGAUCAGUAGCUGGUCUGAGAGGAUGAGCAGCCACACUGGGACUGAGACACGGCCCAGACUCCUACGGGAGGCUGCAGUGGGGAAUUUUCCGCAAUGGGCGAAAGCCUGACGGAGCAACGCCGCGUGAGGGAGGAAGGUCUUUGGAUUGUAAACCUCUUUUCUCAAGGAAGAAGUUCUGACGGUACUUGAGGAAUCAGCCUCGGCUAACUCCGUGCCAGCAGCCGCGGUAAUACGGGGGAGGCAAGCGUUAUCCGGAAUUAUUGGGCGUAAAGCGUCCGCAGGUGGUCAGCCAAGUCUGCUGUCAAACCAGGUUGCUUAACGACCUAAAGGCGGUGGAAACUGGCAGACUAGAGAGCAGUAGGGGUAGCAGGAAUUCCCAGUGUAGCGGUGAAAUGCGUAGAGAUUGGGAAGAACAUCGGUGGCGAAAGCGUGCUACUGGGCUGUAUCUGACACUCAGGGACGAAAGCUAGGGGAGCGAAAGGGAUUAGAUACCCCUGUAGUCCUAGCCGUAAACGAUGGAUACUAGGCGUGGCUU
rnacentral:rRNA from 1 species